rnacentral:rRNA from 1 species
AUUGAACGCUGGCGGAAUGCUUUACACAUGCAAGUCGAGCGGCAGCGCGGCCUUCGGGCUGGCGGCGAGCGGCGAACGGGUGAGUAAUGCAUCGGAACAUGCCCAGUCGUGGGGGAUAACACUUCGAAAGAAGUGCUAAUACCGCAUACGUCCUGAGGGGGAAAGCGGGGGAUCGCAAGACCUCGCGCGAUUGGAGUGGCCGAUGUCAGAUUAGCUAGUUGGUGGGGUAAAGGCCUACCAAGGCGACGAUCUGUAGCUGGUCUGAGAGGAUGAUCAGCCACACUGGGACUGAGACACGGCCCAGACUCCUACGGGAGGCAGCAGUGGGGAAUGUUGGACAAUGGGGGCAACCCUGAUCCAGCCAUUCCGCGUGAGUGAAGAAGGCCUUCGGGUUGUAAAGCUCUUUCGGCAGGAACGAAACGGUGGGCUCUAACAUAGUCCGCUAAUGACGGUACCUGAAGAAGAAGCACCGGCUAACUACGUG